AGGUUGGAUACUGGAGAACCUCCACACUGUGCUCGUGAAAACACAUGAAAACGUUCAGUCUCACAGGGGAAAGAAAUGUUGCAGAAUAAUUGGGGGAUUUUCGGUUUUGCAGAGGCCCUGUUUGCAUUAAAGCUUGCAGAAAUUUAAGCAAAACCUGGGUUUAAUUCUAUUUAUUGAAACCAAUUGCAAACCCAUGUGGAUACUCUUAAACAGAUUCAGCUUUCCUAAAGAAAAAACACUGUAAAUGAGAUUUCAAUUAAAGCGCAGAGGAGCAUCCACAAACGGUUUCACACCAGUAUGUGACCUGGCAGUCUCUUGCUGUUGGUAUAUUUGAGAGGGUUGGGAACUUUGCAUACUGAAACCUCCCUGUGAGAGUGCUGGGAGUGAAUUGCUGUAAAUACACCCUUCACACAAGCUUUUUAGAAUCUGCAGUGGAAAAAAAAGUACCCUGGUGCAUAAGCAGUAUCCUGAAGAGACAAAUUUCCUUCACUGGAGCUUUGGGAGCCCUAGUUUUCACUCAGUGCAUUUGAAGCAAGAGUCCUGGAUUGUGGUUAUUCAGGUUUAACAGGACUUGGAAAUGCUGAAGCUGGAGGCAAAGCUCCCCCCACAGCAGAGUGAUGUAGCUCUGGGCUUGACCGUGCUGCAGCUCACUGAAGAACCACCCCAGGCACAGCCACACAGGGCUCAGCAGGAGCAGCCCACUGGUGACCAGGACAUGAUGGGGGUUUCACAAACCAUUUCAAAAUCCAAACUCACCAUGGCUGGUGCCUGCCAUCCCAGAGCUGGAUGCUGGGGCUGGGGCUGGCCUCGCACAGCUGCUCUGGGUUUAGUGCUAAGUGUAACAAGCUGCUUGGCAACGCAGACCAGGCUAAAUAAAAGCAGCAGAAGAGAUUUAAGUAACUCAUAUUAAUGCUUCAGAGAGGAUUUACCAGUGUGUAACUAAGGGUAGGGAUAGUGGUACUUGCAGGCAGUGCUAACAAACUGCCUGGACACAAUCCAGCCAGCACAGCACCACAGGGAAAGGCAGCUGCUGUGCUCUCCACCCCUCAUCACCUAGGGCUUCUGGAUGAUUUCCCCUGUAUGAAAGACUGUGAAAGGAGCCUUCCCAGAGCUGCAGCCCAGAGCAAGGCUCGGGGUGUUUCUAGGGCUUAUAUUGCUGACAGCAAACAGGUAGAGCCAUAGGAACAGGUGGGCAGAGCUUGGAUUUGGUCACAGGCUUGUCUGCAUCUGUCUUCCCUUUGGAACCAUCCCAGUGUCUGCAGUGGAAGGCUGGACACCGGUAUCAGGCACAGCAUCAUCCACAGGGUGUGUAUCUCCCAGGAGUACUGGACAGUAAUCCCCAGUGCCAGAGCUGACAGUAAAAAGCAUGUACCUGUAAACUGACCAUUAAAAGGUCAGUUCAGCUGACUGAUCCUUUUCUCAGGACAAAGAGCUCUCUGGAUAGUUUCUGUUACCUUGCUAAGCAAUCUCCCUGCUCCUCAGACUCCCUGGACGCAGCAAUAAUUUUCCCACUCUAAUUCAGGAGGAUGACACAGUCUUUUAACAUCCUAGCAAGCAACCUGUAACUUUCCCCAUUUGUUAUGUGUGCUUGUUGCCAUCUUCUCUCUGCAGGGAUAAAUGUGUAACUCUAACCCUGAAUUUCAUCUGUUUACUCUCUCCUGACUGUGAAUCCCUUACAGUAUUGCUAACUUCACACUGGCUUGCACACAGCAUCCAGCUCCACAAGAGCCCAAUUUUCCUUUCAGGCUGAUGAUCUCCUGCUGCAGCAGCAUCAGCUCCCCCUGCCAAGAAGCCCUCCCUGCCAGCCCUCCUCUCCUGGCCCACGUUGUACACCUGCAGCAAAA